rfam:Anaerolinaceae bacterium 46_22 MPJ_scaffold_962, whole genome shotgun sequence.
CAAAUCCUUCGGGGCAGGGUGAGGGUCUUUGACCCAAUUCCCGACCGGUGGUAAUCCCAGAAAUUGGGCAGCCCACGAGUGCCAAACAGCACAUGAACCGGUGAAAUACCGGUGCCGGCGGUUAGAGUCCGAAUGAAAGAAGGUAUCU